GACGAACCGUGCGAACGUUGUUCGGAAUCACUGGGCUUAAAGGGUGCGUAGGCGGGCCUCCAAGUCCGGGGUGAAAGCCCCCCGCUUAACGGGGGAAGUGCUUCGGAUACUGGGGGCCUGGAGGGGGGUAGGGGCGUGCGGAACAGCCGGUGGAGCGGUGAAAUGCGUUGAUAUCGGCUGGAACUCCGGUGGCGAAAGCGGCACGCUGGACCUCUACUGACGCUGAGGCACGAAAGCCAGGGGAGCGAACGGG
rnacentral:rRNA from 1 species